GCGGCCGCGGUGGAGCUUUACCGCGGGCGCCCCCGAACCCCCGAAGCGCGUCCCCGCGCAGGCCGUGGGCGCGCACGGCCGCUGCCGCCGUUUGUUCUGGUGGAGGCUGCGAGUGCCUGGGCCUGUGACUCCCGGCUCUCCGCGCGCAGCAUGCCCUGGACAUCAUUCCGAACAGCACAAUUCAAGGGUGGCUGAAACAACAAAAAUGUAACGUCUUACAGAUCUGAAGGCUUCCGGGUCGAUUCUGGACUGUGAUGAGAAUCUGUGCCAAGCCUCUCUCCUGGCUUCUGGUAGACUCGGGCAUUCCUUAGCUUGUAAAUGGCUGCUGCUUGUGUCAUCACAUUGUCUUCCCUUUCUACUUAUCUGUCCCCAUGCCCCAAUUUUUCCUUUUCAGGACACCAGUCAGAUUAGGACCCACCCUAAUGAUCUCAUCUUAACUUGAUUAACUACAAGGACCCUAUUUUUAAGUACACAUUUACAGAGACUGGGGGGUAGGACUUCAACAUCUUUUUGGAGGGAUGCAGUUCAACCCAUAACAAGAAUCAUUGUUAGAAAUGAUUUUGCUUCUUCACUGA
ensembl:lncRNA LIN28B-AS1 LIN28B antisense RNA 1